AUCAGGCUGAGCUAAGAGGAGAGGCUUGUGGUGGACUACGGCUGCUUAAGGUUGGUUCGGGGGCUGAGUCCACAAUAGUCAUAGGUGAUAAUCAAAUUCUAUUUUUGGAGCUUAAGCCAGAAGCCAAAAUAGAAUGCAGCUAACAGCCGAAUUAAAGGUGACUCAAUGAAUUUAACUUCAACAAAAAAAAUUUAACUGCUAAAGGUGUUAGUAUCUAUAUAAACUUGCAGUUAGGGCAAAACCAUCGAUAUACUUAACAUUCAAUUCGUAGAUUUCAAUAAGGAAGAAAGAUCGAGAGCAGAAUGGGAGUCAUAUGCCCACGAGGUAAGUGGACAUGGCCAGAGCUUGUCGGGAAAGACGGAAAUGUUGCAGCAGCUAUCAUAGAGAAGGAGAACGAAAAUGUGAAUGCAAUUGUGAUUAAGCAAAGUGAGUCUGUGCAUCCGGUGCGUCCGAUAUUUUAUUGCGGCAGAGUCAGGGUUUUUGUGGAUGAAAAUGGAAAAGUCAUUAGUCCUCCUACUAUUGGUUAAACCAUAAAUAUCAUCUAUUAUCUUAAAUAAACAGUCUCAGUACUCUCAGACUUGCAGAAUAAAUAAUUGAAUUCUAUGAGUUCAUGUUGCUUAUGCAA